rnacentral:tRNA from 1 species
AAGGCUUUAAGUUAAAAAAACUGAUAACCUUCAAAGCUAUAAAUAAAGAAAAUAUCUUUAAGCCUUA